rnacentral:rRNA from 1 species
UACGUAGGGUGCGAGCGUUGCCCGGAUUUAUUGGGCGUAAAGGGCGCGUAGGCGGCUCUGCACGUCCGUUGUGAAAUCGCCCGGCUCAACUGGGCGGGGUCAGCGGAUACGGCGGAGCUUGAGCAAGCUAGGGGGCAAUGGAAUUCCCGGUGUAGUGGUGGAAUGCGUAGAGAUCCGGAAGAACACCGGUGGCGAAGGCGGCCUGCUGGGCAGUUUUGCUGACACUGAGGCGCGACAGCGUGGGGAGCAAACAGG